CCUACGGGUGGCUGCAGUGGGGAAUAUUGGACAAUGGAGGAAACUCUGACGCAGCAACGCCGCGUGAAUGAUGAAGGUCUUCGGCUCGUAAAGUUCUAUUCUCAGGGACGAAAGAAGUGACGGUACCUGAAUAAGAAGCCUCGGCUAACUACGUGCCAGCAGCCGCGGUAAUACGUAGGAGGCAAGCGUUAUCCGGAAUGACUGGGCGUAAAGGGUGCGUAGGUGGUUUGGCAAGUUAGAAGUGAAACCCUAGGGCUUAACCUGGGGAUUACUACUAAAACUGUUGGACUAGAGUGCAGGAGAGGCAAGCGGAAUUCCUAGUGUAGCGGUGGAAUGCGUAGAUAUUAGGAGGAACACCAGUGGCGAAGGCGGGUUGCUAGACUGUAACUGACACUGAGGCACGAAAGCGUGGGGAGCAAACAGGAUUAGAUACCCGUGUAGUC
rnacentral:rRNA from 1 species